AUUGAACGCUGGCGGCAUGCCUUACACAUGCAAGUCGAACGGCAGCACGGGAGCAAUCCUGGUGGCGAGUGGCGAACGGGUGAGUAAUACAUCGGAACGUGCCCAGUAGUGGGGGAUAACCCGGCGAAAGCCGGACUAAUACCGCAUACGACCUACGGGUGAAAGCAGGGGAUCGCAAGACCUUGCGCUAUCGGAGCGGCCGAUGUCAGAUUAGCUUGUUGGNGGGGUAAAAGCCUACCAAGGCAACGAUCUGUAGCAGGUCUGAGAGGACGACCAGCCACACUGGGACUGAGACACGGCCCAGACUCCUACGGGAGGCAGCAGUGGGGAAUUUUGGACAAUGGGCGCAAGCCUGAUCCAGCCAUGCCGCGUGCGGGAAGAAGGCCU
rnacentral:rRNA from 1 species